GAUGAACGCUAGCGAUAGGCCUAACACAUGCAAGUCGAGGGGCAGCACAUGAAGUAGCAAUACAGAUGGUGGCGACCGGCGCACGGGUGAGUAACACGUAUGCAACCUACCUUCCACAGGAGAAUAACCCGUUGAAAAACGGACUAAUACUCCAUAAUACAGGGGUCCCGCAUGGGAAUAUUUGUUAAAGAUUUUUUUCGGUAGAAGAUGGGCAUGCGUUCCAUUAGCUAGUUGGUUGAGGUAACGGCUCACCAAGGCAACGAUGGAUAGGGGAACUGAGAGGUUUAUCCCCCACACUGGUACUGAGACACGGACCAGACUCCUACGGGAGGCAGCAGUGAGGAAUAUUGGUCAAUGGAGGCAACUCUGAACCAGCCACGUCGCGUGAAGGAUGACGGCCCUACGGGUUGUAAACUUCUUUUAUACUGGAAUAAAGUGAGUCACGUGUGACUUUUUGCAUGUACUGUAUGAAUAAGGAUCGGCUAACUCCGUGCCAGCAGCCGCGGUAAUACGGAGGAUCCAAGCGUUAUCCGGAUUUAUUGGGUUUAAAGGGUGCGCAGGCCGGAAGAAUAAAGUCGGCGGUGAAAUUUGCAGCUCA
rnacentral:rRNA from 1 species